rnacentral:misc_RNA from 1 species
AAACAACCUCUCAAUAACAAUAAAAAAAACAACACCAGUGCAAGACCUAUCCACUUUCUUACCCUCCUUCUCGCAGCCUCCAUUUGUGUUUCGAUCUUUUCAAUUCGCCUAAGAAGACCAUAAAUGAUUUGGCUGGCUCUAUAUGGGAAUGGAUCAUUGUACCAUUGGAAAAACCCACAGUAGUUUGACUUCUGAAAAAAAAAAUUACAAAUCAAUACGAACCCAUUUCCUAUAACAAAUCAUUUUAUGGAAAUGUAGUAUACAUAUCCCACAAUUCCUGCAUCCAAAGAAGUGUCUCCCUGGAUUAGCUGAAGACCACAAGGUACGUAAAUCCCCCUCAAUAUUACACGAGCAUUUUAGUUGAACCCUUUCUGUCGAGCUCCCUUCACUGAUUUCAGACAUUAUUGAUGAAUCCUCGACUAUUCUUCAGGCUAACCUCUGUUGAAUCCCUCCUCACGAAAAGGUGAGGAUAUGGUUAU